AUGAACGCUGGCGGCGUGCCUAAUACAUGCAAGUCGAGCGAACGGACGAGUAGCUUGCUUCUCUGAUGUUAGCGGCGGACGGGUGAGUAACACGUGGAUAACCUACCUAUAAGACUGGGAUAACUUCGGGAAACCGGAGCUAAUACCGGAUAAUAUUUUGAACCGCAUGGUUCAAAAGUGAAAGACGGUCUUGCUGUCACUUAUAGAUGGAUCCGCGCUGCAUUAGCUAGUUGGUAAGGUAACGGCUUACCAAGGCAACGAUGCAUAGCCGACCUGAGAGGGUGAUCGGCCACACUGGAACUGAGACACGGUCCAGACUCCUACGGGAGGCAGCAGUAGGGAAUCUUCCGCAAUGGGCGAAAGCCUGACGGAGCAACGCCGCGUGAGUGAUGAAGGUCUUCGGAUCGUAAAACUCUGUUAUUAGGGAAGAACAUAUGUGUAAGUAACUGUGCACAUCUUGACGGUACCUAAUCAGAAAGCCACGGCUAACUACGUG
rnacentral:rRNA from 1 species